UACGUAGGGGGCUAGCGUUGUCCGGACUUAUUGGGCGUAAAGAGCGUGUAGGCGGCCAGGUAGGUCCGUUGUGAAAACUCGAGGCUCAACCUCGAGACGUCGGCGGAAACCCUCUGGCUAGAGUCCGGAAGAGGAGAGUGGAAUUCCUGGUGUAGCGGUGAAAUGCGCAGAUAUCAGGAAGAACACCCGUGGCGAAGGCGGCUCUCUGGGACGGUACUGACGCUGAGACGCGAAAGCGUGGGGAGCAAACAGG
rnacentral:rRNA from 1 species